UGUCAUACUGGAAAAUAAACAUUUUUUAUUUUAUUUUAUUAUUAUGACACCUUAGUAUCAAAUAUGGAUUUGAUUUACUUUAUAAAUGAGUUUGAUAACUUUUGACGUAACAUAAAUCGAUAAACGCCCGCGGCAUGCACAAAAAAGGAUGACUCAUUGCGUUACGCUCAUUGUCCCGUUACGGUCAUUGUCCCUAUAUGGAAUAUAUGACGUUGUCACGUUAAACUAUCAUCCGUAAACCAACUUUACAGACAACAAAUUUUUUAUAAAGACUUUUUUUUUAUUUUAUUAAUCAGAUGUCAUUUUCAUGGAUAUUUUUUAAGUAAAUAAAGAAAUCUCUUUAGGUACGUAUUUAUCUCAUAAUGUAAUAAUGUAUUUGAUAUGUAGAUAGCGUAAUACAUAAGAUAUAAAUUAUUAGUAAAUAAAUUAACAUUAGAAAUGAAAGUGCCGAUUAGUAUUGUAACAUGUAAUAUAGAUUGUAUAUAAAGUUUUAACAUUUAAGACAUUUGGUUGCCGCGGUAGUUCAACCGACUGUUAUUGGUUGAGCUACCAGUCCACAACUGAAAUAUAUGCAUUUUAUUUUUUUAAUUUAAUUUUUUUUUCUGUUUAUCUGACUAACUGUUGAUUAGGGAAGUGUACAUUUGUCUGUACAAAAUGUACAGAAUAAAGUAUGAAUUUAGUAAUAAUAAUCGAAUGUUAUUUAUGAUAACAUUAGGUAUACAUAUACAAAUAGUUGAAACGAUGCCGUUAAGAUGAUUUUUACAAGUAUUGAUUUAUUGUUAGAAUGGAAAUACUAUACAAAAUCAUGUGAUUUUACCAACUUUUAUGUUUGCUCUGGGUUCUUGAAUGGUUAAUGUGUAAUUUAUUAGGACCUAACAGAUUUUGUAAUGCAAAAAAAUAAGUUUAAAUUUAAACAGUAGAAAAUGAAUUCGAUACAUAUAAACUAAUUAUGUAAAAUAUAUGACGGAAUAGACGAGAUAUAUCUGUUUAAAAAGACGCCUGCCAGAUGUUGUUGAUAUGUUAGUGUGGAAUUCUCUACCUACUAAAUUCUCUUGUAACCAAUACUCCAUAACCACAUUAGCAUUAUUGAAGUAAAACUGCUUUACGCACGCUUGACGUGAUGAGACUGUUACGAAAAGUGUGAUCGGGCGA
rnacentral:misc_RNA from 1 species